UACGUAGGGUCCGAGCGUUGUCCGGAAUUAUUGGGCGUAAAGGGCUCGUAGGCGGUCUGUCACGUCGGCUGUGAAAACCCGGGGCUCAACCCCGGGCCUGCAGUCGAUACGGGCAGACUAGAGUGCGGUAGGGGAGACUGGAAUUCCUGGUGUAGCGGUGAAAUGCGCAGAUAUCAGGAGGAACACCGGUGGCGAAGGCGGGUCUCUGGGCCGUAACUGACGCUGAGGAGCGAAAGCGUGGGGAGCGAACAGG
rnacentral:rRNA from 1 species